CCUACGGGAGGCUGCAGUGGGGAAUAUUGCACAAUGGGCGCAAGCCUGAUGCAGCCAUGCCGCGUGUGUGAAGUAGGCCUUCGGGUUGUAAAGCACUUUCAGCGGGGAGGAGGGCGUUAAGGUUAAUAACCUUGGCGAUUGACGUUACCCGCAGAAGAAGCACCGGCUAACUCCGUGCCAGCAGCCGCGGUAAUACGGAGGGUGCAAGCGUUAAUCGGAAUUACUGGGCGUAAAGCGCACGCAGGCGGUCUGUCAAGUCGGAUGUGAAAUCCCCGGGCUCAACCUGGGAACUGCAUUCGAAACUGGCAGGCUAGAGUCUUGUAGAGGGGGGUAGAAUUCCAGGUGUAGCGGUGAAAUGCGUAGAGAUCUGGAGGAAUACCGGUGGCGAAGGCGGCCCCCUGGACAAAGACUGACGCUCAGGUGCGAAAGCGUGGGGAGCAAACAGGAUUAGAUACCCUUGUAGUC
rnacentral:rRNA from 1 species